rnacentral:rRNA from 1 species
GUGCCAGCAGCCGCGGUAACACGUAGGGGACGAGCGUUGUCCGGAUUCAUUGGGCGUAAAGCGCGCGUAGGCGGCUCGGAAAGUCGGGCGUGAAAUGCCGGGGCUCAACCCCGGGACUGCGUCCGAUACUUCCGAGCUGGAGGUAGGUAGGGGAGAUCGGAAUUCCUGGUGUAGCGGUGAAAUGCGCAGAUAUCAGGAGGAACACCGGUGGCGAAGGCGGAUCUCUGGGCCUUACCUGACGCUGAGGCGCGAAAGCUAGGGGAGCGAACAGGAUUAGAAACCCCCGUAGUCC